UUAAGCGACUAAGCGUACACGGUGGAUGCCCUGGCAGUCAGAGGCGAUGAAGGACGUGCUAAUCUGCGAAAAGCGUCGGUAAGGUGAUAUGAACCGUUAUAACCGGCGAUGUCCGAAUGGGGAAACCCAGUGYRAUUCGUUGCACUAUCGUUAACUGAAUACAUAGGUUAACGAGGCGAACCGGGGGAACUGAAACAUCUAAGUACCCCGAGGAAAAGAAAUCAACCGAGAUUCCCCCAGUAGCGGCGAGCGAACGGGGAGCAGCCCAGAGUCUGAAUCAGCUUGUGUGUUAGUGGAACGGUCUGGAAAGUCCGACGGUACAGGGUGAUAGUCCCGUACACCAAAAUGCACAGGCUGUGAACUCGAAGAGUARGGCGGGACACGUGGUAUCCUGUCUGAAUAUGGGGGGACCAUCCUCCAAGGCUAAAUACUCCUGACUGACCGAUAGUGAACCAGUACCGUGAGGGAAAGGCGAAAAGAACCCCGGCGAGGGGAGUGAAAAAGAACCUGAAACCGUGUACGUACAAGCAGUGGGAGCACCUUCGGGUGUGACUGCGUACCUUUUGUAUAAUGGGUCAGCGACUUAUAUUCUGUAGCAAGGUUAACCGUAUAGGGGAGCCGCAGGGAAACCGAGUCUUAACUGGGCGUUAAGUUGCAGGGUAUAGACCCGAAACCCGGUGAUCUAGCCAUGGGCAGGUUGAAGGUUGGGUAACACUAACUGGAGGACCGAACCGACUAAUGUUGAAAAAUUAGCGGAUGACUUGUGGCUGGGGGUGAAAGGCCAAUCAAACCGGGAGAUAGCUGGUUCUCCCCGAAAGCUAUUUAGGUAGCGCCUCGUGAAYUCAUCUUCGGGGGUAGAGCACUGUUUCGGCUAGGGGGUCAUCCCGACUUACCAACCCGAUGCAAACUACGAAUACCGAAGAAUGUUAUCACGGGAGACACACGGCGGGUGCUAACGUCCGUCGUGAAGAGGGAAACAACCCAGACCGCCAGCUAAGGUCCCAAAGUCAUGGUUAAGUGGGAAACGAUGUGGGAAGGCACAGACAGCCAGGAUGUUGGCUUAGAAGCAGCCAUCAUUUAAAGAAAGCGUAAUAGCUCACUGGUCGAGUCGGCCUGCGCGGAAGAUGUAACGGGGCUAAACCAUGCACCGAAGCUGCGGCAGCGACACUAUGUGUUGUUGGGUAGGGGAGCGUUCUGUAAGCCUGCGAAGGUGWSCUGUGAGGSWUGCUGGAGGUAUCAGAAGUGCGAAUGCUGACAUAAGUAACGAUAAAGCGGGUGAAAAGCCCGCUCGCCGGAAGACCAAGGGUUCCUGUCCAACGUUAAUCGGGGCAGGGUGAGUCGACCCCUAAGGCGAGGCCGAAAGGCGUAGUCGAUGGGAAACAGGUUAAUAUUCCUGUACUUGGUGUUACUGCGAAGGGGGGACGGAGAAGGCUAUGUUAGCCGGGCGACGGUUGUCCCGGUUUAAGCAUGUAGGCUGGUURUCCAGGCAAAUCCGGAUAAUCAAGGCUGAGGUGUGAUGACGAGGCACUACGGUGCUGAAGUAACAAAUGCCCUGCUUCCAGGAAAAGCCUCUAAGCAUCAGGUAACAUCAAAUCGUACCCCAAACCGACACAGGUGGUCAGGUAGAGAAUACCAAGGCGCUUGAGAGAACUCGGGUGAAGGAACUAGGCAAAAUGGUGCCGUAACUUCGGGAGAAGGCACGCUGGUGUGUAGGUGAAGYCCCUGCGGRUGGAGCUGAGACCAGUCGAAGAUACCAGCUGGCUGCAACUGUUUAUUAAAAACACAGCACUGUGCAAACACGAAAGUGGACGUAUACGGUGUGACGCCUGCCCGGUGCCGGAAGGUUAAUUGAUGGGGUUAUCCGUAAGGAGAAGCUCUUGAUCGAAGCCCCGGUAAACGGCGGCCGUAACUAUAACGGUCCUAAGGUAGCGAAAUUCCUUGUCGGGUAAGUUCCGACCUGCACGAAUGGCGUAAUGAUGGCCAGGCUGUCUCCACCCGAGACUCAGUGAAAUUGAACUCGCUGUGAAGAUGCAGUGUACCCGCGGCAAGACGGAAAGACCCCGUGAACCUUUACUAUAGCUUGACACUGAACAUUGAGCCUUGAUGUGUAGGAUAGGUGGGAGGCUUUGAAGCGUGGACGCCAGUCUGCGUGGAGCCAACCUUGAAAUACCACCCUUUAAUGUUUGAUGUUCUAACGUUGGCCCCUKACCGGGGUUGCGGACAGUGUCUGGUGGGUAGUUUGACUGGGGCGGUCUCCUCCCAAAGCGUAACGGAGGAGCACGAAGGUUAGCUAAUCCUGGUCGGACAUCAGGAGGUUAGUGCAAUGGCAUAAGCUAGCUUGACUGCGAGCGUGACGGCGCGAGCAGGUGCGAAAGCAGGUCAUAGUGAUCCGGUGGUUCUGAAUGGAAGGGCCAUCGCUCAACGGAUAAAAGGUACUCCGGGGAUAACAGGCUGAUACCGCCCAAGAGUUCAUAUCGACGGCGGUGUUUGGCACCUCGAUGUCGGCUCAUCACAUCCUGGGGCUGAAGUAGGUCCCAAGGGUAUGGCUGUUCGCCAUUUAAAGUGGUACGCGAGCUGGGUUUAGAACGUCGUGAGACAGUUCGGUCCCUAUCUGCCGUGGGCGCUGGAGAAUUGAGGGGGGCUGCUCCUAGUACGAGAGGACCGGAGUGGACGCAUCACUGGUGUUCGGGUUGUCAUGCCAAUGGCACUGCCCGGUAGCUAAAUGCGGAAGAGAUAAGUGCUGAAAGCAUCUAAGCACGAAACUUGCCCCGAGAUGAGUUCUCCCUGAGACUUUAAG
rnacentral:rRNA from 1 species